rnacentral:rRNA from 1 species
CGUGUAGGCGGAUAUUCAAGUUAGGGUGAAAGGCCUGGGCUCAACCUGGGAACUGCCUUUAAAACUGAAGAUCUAGAGUACGGAAGAGGGUAGCGGAAUACCCAGUGUAGAGGUGAAAUUCGUAGAUAUUGGGUAGAACACCGGUGGCGAAGGCGGCUGCCUGGUCCGUAACUGACGCUGAUGCGCGAAAGCGUGGGGAGCAAACA